rnacentral:rRNA from 1 species
UACGGGGGGGGCAAGCGUUGUUCGGAAUUACUGGGCGUAAAGGGCUCGUAGGUGGCCAACUAAGUCAGACGUGAAAUCCCUCAGCUUAACUGGGGAACUGCGUCUGAUACUGGAUGGCUUGAGUUUGGGAGAGGGAUGCGGAAUUCCAGGUGUAGCGGUGAAAUGCGUAGAUAUCCACAGGAACUCCGGUGGCGAAGGCGGCACGCUGGAUCCCAUCUGACGCUGAGGCGCGAAAGCCAGGGGAGCGAACGGG